CUUGAUUGGCCUUGAUUAUGGUCACCUGAGGGAUCCAAGAUGGUGGACAGAAGCAAGAUGGUGUCCGGAUAGACAGCAUGGUGCCCAGACUUGGUUACACUCAGAAACCAUAAGACUUUUUAAAACCUAUUUGCCCUUAUACAAGGACAGUACCAGGAUUAGAGAUUCCUACAGGGAACGUGACUACUCCUUUGUCGUGUAUGUCUGUCAAGUGUUUGUCUAUGCUAUAUGUCAAACAAUAACCAAACGGGACAGGCUACCGUUCACCCCAACGCUUGGGCUAUCCCUCAACAAGAGAGAGAAGGACCAGAGCUCGCCAGGAACCCAGUGAAGCCGAAAUGCCCACUGAAAAGAGGCGGAUUCAGGAGGGAGAGAGACAACUCAAGGAGGCAGCAAAGGGGAGCACAUCACUGCAGGGUUGGCUACGAAAAAGCCAACCAGCAGUGAUUGGAGCCUUCCGCUGUUCCCCAGAGAGUUCCCCCGGGACCACGCUCUCUCUCACCCCGUCACCCCGUCAGCCUGCUGGGAAGCCAUGAUGAGCUGCAGGAUUUGUGUGUGUUUGCGUGUUGAGGGUAUGGGCAUGUUGGGGAUGUUUAGAUAUGUGUGUACAUAUAUAUGCGUAUAUAUUGUGUGUGUGUGGAUAUUUUGAGUAUGUUCUGUGUGUGUGUGUACAGAUAUCGAGGAUACGGUAUGUGUGGAUAUUGAGAGUAGGGUGUAUGUGCGUAAUUGGAAGGGGAAAUUUAGGUGCACACGCGCACAGCCGAGUUCUGACUUUCAUGUUCUCACUUCAGAGAGUUUGGCGAGACCUUUCCUCCCUUGCCCUUGGCGAGACCAAAGGGAAAUAUUUAUAAAUCAUCUGCACAACAAAUAUUGAAGCUGGCCUGAGGUGUCAAAACCACUGAGCAGACUCCCUGGGCAGUAAGGUUGAAAUGCUCUUUCAUCACCUUCCCCAGAGACUCAGACGUCUCUCUGGACCUGGAUCCAGAGCAGGCACUACUCUGUACCUGGCUGGACAUUACCCAGAAGCCUUCUUACAUGGACACGGCAAGACUUGCUUAACUUGUGCAUGUGUGAUGCAGCUUUAUAUAAUUGUAAAAUGUAUUAGUUAAAUGGAAUGAAUGAUCUCAUGAGCUCCGAUGUAUUUUAAAGGACAACUACUGUAUAUGCUGAAAGUGUCCAUUAGAUAUUUGAGUGUGUCUGUUUCUGAUACUUUGUUUGUGAGGGUGCUGGUGCUAAGGUGAAGAUAGAUGGCUGACAGAUAGGAAUCUGAAAUGGUCAAACAAUUACAAAUGGUGCUCAAGAUGAAAAAGGUGUGUAAUGGCUUAAGUCAGAAAUUCCAAAUUCACACGUAUUUGUAGAGCUAUUUAUUAUAAUAAUUGAAUGAUGCGGAAAGCCUAAUACAAGCCUCCAUUACCCACACAUUGCCCAUGUGUGAUGUAAACUCUUUGGUGAUAAGCAAUAUCCAAGGUCAUCAUACUUAAUCGAUUGGUGGGAUGACCUCACACCUUAUUGAACAAUGUCAAUAAACGGUCCCACACCCUUUGCAUAACACUUAAUAUUAAAACGGCUGGUUUAAUAGACCCUUUCUACACAGGCUUUAUAGUAGGAUUAACACAGGUGUCGCUUAUAACACUAAUUAUAGGUCUGCUUUUAUGCCUACAUGUUGUAGAGUAAACUAGUGAAGAUAAAUCUCAUACCCAUGCCCAGUGCCUGGACCCAGCGGAACCUGUUAGAUGUCAAUCAAACUGCUCAUACCUGUUCUUGCCAUGCCCAGUUGAUCCUUAAGAAAUCUCUGAAGAGCGAAUAUAGAUGUUUAUAAACAUAUGGCAAAUAAAACAUUUUCUUCCAUUGAUCAAAUUUGAUUGAUGACAAAUAACCACCUUUGACUUUAUCAACAAAUAUGGAUCCCGGUGAACAGGAACUAACUAAAAU